AUUGAACGCUGGCGGCAGGCUUAACACAUGCAAGUCGAACGAGUGGCGGACGGGUGAGUAAUGCUUGGGAAUCUAGCUUAUGGAGGGGGAUAACUAUGGGAAACUGUAGCUAAUACCGCGUACCAUAGGAUGAGCCCAAGGGGGAUUGGGUAGUUGGGUAGGUAAAGGCUCACCAAGCCGACGAUCUCUAGAUGGUCUGAGAGGAUGACCAGCCAAACUUGUACUGAGACAAGGCCCAGACUCCUACGGGAGGCAGCAGUGGGGAAGAGUGCGCAAUGGGGGCAACCUGACGCAGCCAUGCCGCGUGAAUGAAGAAGGCCUUCGGGUUGUAAAGUUCUUUCGGUAGCGAGGCGUUAACUACAGAAGAAGCACCGGCUAACUCCGUGCCAGCAGCCGCGGUAAUAC
rnacentral:rRNA from 1 species